CAUAGACCAGGGCCUUUCGAUCGAUACAAGAAACUGAUCUUCAUUGAUCCCGAGGGGAAGGUUGAACCGGACCACGAUCGCGUGAAGAGUCUGAAGGCAAAGAUCACGUCACAGCAAUGCGAGAACUAUCCGCACUCCAACAUGGACGAAACAUAUGCGCUGCAGGUGAAGGCAGGCGAGGCGAUGCUAACGGCGGAGACGGUCUGGGGUUUCCUGCGCGGCAUAGAAACCUUUCUCACAAACUCAUUUUCUUCCCUGAGGAGACGAACAAAUACGUACGUGCUGGC